rnacentral:rRNA from 1 species
UUUAACGGCCGCAGUACCCUAACCGCGCGAAGGUAGCAUAAUCACUUGUUCUUUAAAUGAGGACUAGAAUCAACGGCACCACGAGGGUUAUACUGUCUCCUUUCUCUAAUCAGUGAAACUAAUCUCCCCGUGAAGAAGCGGGAAUAAAAUUAUAAGACGAGAAGACCCCAUGGAGCUUUAAACCUAGUUACACUCCGAACCUUUACACCCAAUUAUUAUCCGAACCCUGUAAACUAGACUUUAGGUUGGGGGUGACCGCGGAGUAAAACAAAACCUCCGCAAUGAACGAAACUACUAUCUUAUCUAAGAGAUACUCCUCUAA